GACGAACGCUGGCUGCGUGCUUAACACACGCAAGUCGAACGCUGAAGCCCCAGCUUGCUGGGGUGGAUGAGUGGCGAACGGGUGAGUAACACGUGAGUAACCUGCCCCUGACUUCGGGAUAAGCCCGGGAAACUGGGUCUAAUACCGGAUACGACUAUCGGACGCAUGUCUGGUGGUGGAAAGUUUUUUCGGUUGGGGAUGGGCUCGCGGCCUAUCAGUUUGUUGGUGAGGUAAUGGCUCACCAAGACGACGACGGGUAGCCGGCCUGAGAGGGCGACCGGCCACACUGGGACUGAGACACGGCCCAGACUCCUACGGGAGGCAGCAGUGGGGAAUAUUGCACAAUGGGGGAAACCCUGAUGCAGCGACGCAGCGUGCGGGAUGACGGCCUUCGGGUUGUAAACCGCUUUCAGCAGGGAAGAAGCCUUCGGGUGACGGUACCUGCAGAAGAAGUACCGGCUAACUACGUG
rnacentral:rRNA from 1 species